GAUGAACGCUGGCGGCGUGCCUAAUACAUGCAAGUCGAGCGAACCGACCAGGAGUUUGCUCCUCUGACGGUAUCGGCGGACGGGUGCGUAACAUGUGGAUAACCUACCUAUACGACUGGGAUAACAUUGGGAGACCGGAGCUAAUAACGGAAAAUAUAUUGAACCUCAUGGUUCAAUAGUGAGAUACGGUUUUGGUGUCACUUAUAGACGGACACGGGCCGGAUUAGUUAGUUGGCGAGGUAACGGCUUAGCAAGGCAGCGAUGCGUACCCGACCCGAAAGGGUGGUCGGCCACACGGGAACUGAGACACGGCCGAGACUCCGACGGGAGGAAACAGUAGGGAAUCUUCCGCAAUGGGCGAAAGCCGGACGGAGCAACGCCGCGUGAGUGAUGAAGGUCUUCGGAUCGUAAAACGCUGUAAGUAGUGGAGAACAAAUGUGUAAUUAACUAGGCACAUCUUGACGGUACCUAAUCAAAAAGCCACGGCUAACUACGUG
rnacentral:rRNA from 1 species